rnacentral:miRNA from 1 species
CCACAAUGAAAGUAGAUGUCCGUU